UCCCUGGUAGCUCAGCUGGUAAAGAAUCUGUCUGCAAUGCAGGAGACCCUGAAUCAAUUCCUGGCUUGGGAA
rnacentral:tRNA from 1 species